rnacentral:rRNA from 1 species
UACGUAGGGUGCGAGCGUUAAUCGGAAUUACUGGGCGUAAAGCGUGCGCAGGCGGUUUUGUAAGCCAGAUGUGAAAGCCCCGGGCUCAACCUGGGAAUGGCAUUUGGGACUGCAAGGCUUGAGUGCGGCAGAGGAGACUGGAAUUCCUGGUGUAGCAGUGAAAUGCGUAGAUAUGCGGAGGAACACCGAUGGCGAAGGCAAUCCCCUGGGCCUGCACUGACGCUCAUGCACGAAAGCGUGGGGAGCGAACAGG